GGUGAACGCUAGCUACAGGCUUAACACAUGCAAGUCGAGGGGAAACGAUAUUGGAAGCUUGCUUCCGAUAGGCGUCGACCGGCGCACGGGUGAGUAACGCGUAUCCAACCUGCCCACCACUUGGGGAUAACCUUGCGAAAGUAAGACUAAUACCCAAUGAUAUCUCAAGAAGACAUCUGAAUGAGAUUAAAGAUUUAUCGGUGAUGGAUGGGGAUGCGUCUGAUUAGCUUGUUGGCGGGGUAACGGCCCACCAAGGCGACGAUCAGUAGGGGUUCUGAGAGGAAGGUCCCCCACAUUGGAACUGAGACACGGUCCAAACUCCUACGGGAGGCAGCAGUGAGGAAUAUUGGUCAAUGGGCGAGAGCCUGAACCAGCCAAAUAGCGUGCAGGAUGACGGCCCUAUGGGUUGUAAACUGCUUUUAUAAGGGAAUAAAGUGAGCCUCGUGAGGCUUUUUGCAUGUACCUUAUGAAUAAGGACCGGCUAAUUCCGUGCCAGCAGCCGCGGUAA
rnacentral:rRNA from 1 species